rnacentral:rRNA from 1 species
GAUGAACGCUAGCUACAGGCUUAACACAUGCAAGUCGAGGGACCGGCGCACGGGUGAGUAACACGUAUCCCACCUGCCCUUUACUCGGGGAUAGCCUUUCGACAUAAAGAUUAAUACCCGAUCUCAAGGAUGGGGAUGCGUUCCCUUAGGUUGUUGGUGAGGUAACGGCUCACCAAGCCUUCGAUGGAUAGGGGUGCUGGGAGGAAGGUCCCCCACAAUGGAACUGAGACACGGACCAAACUACGACGGGAGGGAGGAGGGAGGAAUAUUGGUGAAUGGGCGCUAGCCUGAACCAGCAAAGUAGCGGGAAGAAGGAAGGCUUAGGGGUAGUAAAUUGCUUGUAUAUAAGAAGAUGUAUUAUAUGAAUAAGGAUCGGCUAACUACGUGCCAGCAGCCGCGGUAAUAC